UUACUUAUCUUUUAUCAUUACAGUCGGUGUUUGAUACUAAACUAGGUAUUCUGUCUAUUUAUAACACUACUAUGUACAGCAAAAUAGUGAAAGUUUAGUAAAAAGAAAAUUUAACACUGCACUCCAGUCAUUUCAAACUUUUCCAGGUGACAUUUAUUGUCUUCCAGUAUCCUAUUAUCAAUGCAUUUCAUCAUUUUUAAACUAUUAGAACAUUUUUCAUUUGAUAAAACUUGAUUCACUCAUAGUUAUAAUCAACAAAACAUAAUGUGUUGGGAUGAUGUUUGGUUUACUGGAGAGGGUAAGAUCUAUAAAAAAAAAAUUCCAAUUUCUUUUUUUAUUUUUACUGAAUUUUCUAAUAUUUUAUUUAAUGAGAAGAGUGUGUUUGGGUGUACAGUAUGAGCAGGGGUGUGUGCGCUGCAUCAUAAAUCUCUUUUUGGUGCUGGCUGGUCUGGUCUGCAGCAGAAGGUCUCAUCUCAAGCUCCAUUUCCAUUUAUGAGGGUUAUUUAUUAAGAAGCUUUUCUGGUGCGUGACGCUUGCCUUUACCUCCACCUGUUCUGAGCUCAGGGUUGAUGAAUGGGUCUCGCUCAUGUUGUUCCAUCCGAGAUCCAUGUCAAGCAGCAGUUGAAUAAUCUUUGCUCCAUUCAGGAGAGACAUGAACCCAAGGCUAAAACACCUGACAGACCGUCCUGCCAUGAAAGAUCUAUUACACCACUCGCCAAUGUCUGCAUUUCAGGCUGCCUGUAUUUGUGUGUAUGAUUCUUUAUAUUUGGUAAGAGCCACAUUGUCCACACUAGAAUAGUAAAAGAUUUGUGUCUUCACAAGUAAAAAUGGUCCAUACUUAAGCUAAAUCGAGAUCUAAAAAUACCAAAAGAGGCCUCUAAGGAAUAAGGGUGGAGUUAAAUUGGGGUAAUUAUAUUUAAUUCAUUCAGAAAAUGCAGCUAUGCUGAGAAGCUCUUUUCCAAAAUCUAGUGAGCUGCCUUACCAUCUACAGCACCUGCCUUUUAUUGCAACAUCAUAACUGAAUUAAACCUCAUAACUGAAUUAAACCUCAUAACUGACUCAUUUUGAACUAGUUUGAAAGAAGCAUGUUUCUAAGCUUUUGAAAUAUUUGUAAAAAAUAAUAAAUAAUAGUACUCCAUUUUUAAAAAAGAUCAAACUGUUGAAGCAAUUAUUGUAGCAAUGAUAUUAAAUAGAAUAUGAGAAUUUUAGCAAUUUUUUUAUAAUUAUUUACAGUUAUAAUAGAAAAUUUGUUUAUAUAUUAUGUACACUAUGUAUAUGUGUGUUUGUGUGUAUAUACACAUGCAAUUAUCUCAAUGUGUGCAGAACUACCUAAAGGAGGCAUGGAAUAUGUUUGAUUUUGUUACUGUCCUGGGAAGCAUCACUGACAUCCUGGUUACUGAGAUCCAGAUGGAUAAAUCAAGGAUUAAUCUGAGUUUCCUGAGACUCUUCCGGGCCGCGAUCGUCUCAUUAAACUCCUCCGGCAGGGCUAC